rnacentral:tRNA from 1 species
GCGAUGUCGCAAGAUCGGGAACGGCUUACCCAGUCUUCCAAACUGGCUACGCGGGUUCGAUUCCCGUCAUCCGCUCCA